rnacentral:rRNA from 1 species
UACGGAGGGGGCUAGCGUUGUUCGGAAUUCCUGGGCGUAAAGCGCGCGUAGGCGGACCUGCAAGUCGGGGGUGAAAGCCCGAGGCUCAACCUCGGAACUGCCUUCGAUACUGCGGGUCUCGAGUCCGGGAGAGGUGAGUGGAAUUCCUAGUGUAGAGGUGAAAUUCGUAGAUAUCAGGAAGAACACCAACGGCGAAGGCAGCUCGCUGGGACGGAACUGACGCUAAGGCGCGAAAGCGUGGGGAGCGAACAGG